rnacentral:lncRNA from 1 species
UGCAACGCAUGGCAUCACAGGCCAUUCGGGUUUCAUCACCUGCCCAUCAGCGAAAGAAAAAAAACAAUGCGGCGAGAGACACGGCUAGAAGAUCUUGGCGGCGCUGCACCAUAAAGAGAUGCAAAGUGAAUCGGACCGGGGCGGCCACACCCCUCCGCACCGGGAACACUGAACUUUUCCACGCCGGCGUUCCCAGAGUAACGUGAACCCGCUGGAGCUGCAGGCUGCCAACACGUUGUGCCACGUGGUGGGUCAAGUUUCUAAAGUACCACGUGUCCCAUGAUUUGUACCACGAAUACAGGCUGCUGUUGAAAAGCUCUGAAGAAAAUUCUCAACUCCUACAUUCAGCCUCCGCAGCGCGAUCAUCCAGGAGCGAGAAACAGAGAUACUCGGGCUGUACCCGGUGCCCAUCGUCUCAGCUCAGCCAGGCCUGUCGGUGGAGCUACGUUCUUUCCGCCACAUCCUCGAGGGACCGCGACUCAUCGAACCCUCGUCUUCGGACGUGCGCCGCGAACCGAGCGACUGGAAAAUAACACGAGGAAAUGUGUACCGUGGUAUAUUGUGGUAUUUCAGGUCAACGGUGACCUGGUCGCAUCACCUGUCUCGCCGGCUGGCGGACUCGCCAAAAGCGGAAAGCGAUGCCUCGCCACCGGGACCGGCGAACAGACCUGCGAGUGGCGCCAGGUUCUGGGAAAACGACGGGACAAAGAGAUCUUCCCUUCCCUCUGAUCCCGUUACUCUGCUCUCACCAUAUUCCAUUACUGUAAUUGUCCUUUCCACUGUCCCCACAAAUAAUAGGAGGACACCUGGGGGGGUGGGGGGGCUGAGAGAUGGGAGGGGGCGCCGCUGCCGCCGCUGUCCUCUCGGGUUACCCGGCCGAUGGGGGACACACCGGGAUCCAGGGGGGUUCUCACACAGUGCGGCCUUUGUGCGCCGCCACCACGGUACAAGGGGGCCGUUAUCCUCGGGUCAACGGCGCCGCCGGACUGGUCCCGCCCCCCUGCCACCGUACCCCCCAGGGGUUUUUCCUCAGGGUGCUGAUCACAGACACACACACACACACUCGCUGAUGCACUUUGUGAAAACACACAUUUUCUCCAGGUCCUCGCCUUGGACACACACACUUGCACACAUUGUCACCGUCACUUAUUGUCAAGAGUGUGUUUUACACUUCUGUCCUCAACUUCCCCUGCAGUUUCAUUCUUCUCACACCACCAGUUUUUCUUACGCAUCGUCAUUCACUGACUCACCUGGAGUGACCUAGGUUUGCACAUUAAAUUAUUCACUAUUUACUCUUUUAAAUAGCUGGGUAAUUUUUACUGCAUCAUUCUAGGGUUGAUCCACAGUACAGCAGCAGGAUGUGGGGUUCAAACCCAGGACCAGUAGAACGAAAGGCAAGGGUUUUAACCGCUUUGACACCUGAUGCUCUGAACCCCGUGGAGAAUAUAUAUGGGGCGGCAUGGUGGCACAGCGCCUGGGUGGUGCGAGAGGACAUGGGUUCGAUCCCCACUUGGUCUCUGUGGAGUUUGCAUGUUUCCCCCCCAUGUCUGUGAGGGGGUGCUCUGGUUUCCUCCCACCCUCCAAAGACAUGCUGUUCAGGUUCCCCCAUAGUAUGUGAGUGACAGAGAGAGUGUGUUCCACUGAUGUCUGCUAAAUAACUAAAUGUAAAUCUGCAACAAUUGGCACAAAACAUGUGUGUAAAAUGGAGAUGUGCCUUUCUGUCCACAAGUUCAGUUCCUUAACCACUCUCUUCCUCCUGGAGUCUGUCUGUGGGCCUCUUAGUGAUGUGCUAACAUGUUGAGGCAGGAGGCACAGUGUGUGCGCUACUUCCUGCAUGGGGGUUAUUUACCGUGCUGGGUGUGGAGGGUAUUAACUGUGUUGCAGGUUCCAGAAAACACACCUGAGUGUGGAGGGCGAGAGCAACGUUGCAACAUCGGCCAUCGUUUCCCGUUCGGGAGCCUUUGGGUUGCAGUGGCGUGACCCAGCCGGAUCAUCGCGGAUUGUUACCCCGACGGCCCUGGAGCCACACCGACACCGCGGGGCGCAUGGGACGCUACGCCGGGCCGGCAGCCUUCCGUGGUCGGACCGCAUUCUUGUCCUGCCACAGUCACCAUAACUCAGCGCGUUCGGAGGCCGAGGAGAGAAGGAUCCGGAACAACCUGCCCGGCAAGAGCUGCAAUUUAUGUGCCGAAGCACAAAGAGGAGGCAAAACCCCGACGGAGAAAGGUGACGUAGAAGAAAACACACACUUCUGUAAACACCUU